rnacentral:pre_miRNA from 1 species
GGCGAAUUUCUGAUGCAUUCUUUCAAAGAGCUGGAGAUAUCAUUCUUCACUGCUGCGUGAGGGACUGGUCGCGGCAGAAUACGGGGCGCAC